rnacentral:lncRNA from 1 species
AAAUGACCUAUUAUCACAUGGAUUCAAAUACCCCAGAGCUGGAUCCAGUCUAUGAAGCAUGCAAACUUCAUUCCAUAAAUCACGUCUGCCUCUAACAUUUUAAAAACAAGAAGAAAUGAAAAACACAAAAGAAAACUAAGUCAGGGACCCCCAUAGUUUCAGCAGAGUCACAUUUCUGUGCAAAAUGGGGUCUUCACCCUUCAUCUCUCCAUCUUCCGAGCUAAAGCUUUUAUGCUGAACCCCUUAUUGAGCUGAGGUUUGUUGAUUAGAGAGGCAAUGUCAACUUAGAGGUUAACUGUGCUCUCUAGUGAAAGAGGAGUUUAAAAAUGUCUCAACCAGACUUGUCCUGCAAGCUCCAGUCUCUGUACUAUUUCAAAGGGAUUCUGGAGCUGUAGCAGCCACAACCUGCCCUUUGU